CCUACGGGUGGCAGCAGUGAGGAAUAUUGGUCAAUGGGCGGGAGCCUGAACCAGCCAAGUCGCGUGAGGGAAGACGGUCCUAUGGAUUGUAAACCUCUUUAGGCGGGGAGCAAUGCCGGGCACGCGUGCCCGGCGGGUGAGUACCCGCAGAAUAAGCCUCGGCUAACUCCGUGCCAGCAGCCGGGGUAAUACGGAGGAUGCGAGCGUUGUCCGGAUUUACUGGGUGUAAAGGGCGUGCAGCCGGGAAGACAAGUCAGAUGUGAAAUCCCGCGGCUCAACCGCGGAACUGCAUUUGAAACUGUUGGUCUUGAGUACCGGAGAGGUCAUCGGAAUUCCUGGUGUAGCGGUGAAAUGCGUAGAUAUAAGGAAGAACACCAGUGGCGAAGGCGGAUGACUGGACGGCAACUGACGGUGAGGCGCGAAAGCGUGGGGAGCAAACAGGAUUAGAUACCCUAGUAGUC
rnacentral:rRNA from 1 species